rnacentral:lncRNA from 1 species
GAUGGGAGACUGGGGAAAUUUCCUUCUGAUUGCUUCUGUUUUCCCAGUGAAACAGGAAGCAAGGUCAUCCAUCAACUGACGGCGAAUACGGCAGCUCAGGCUGGAGACUUUCAGUGACUCGCCCAAGAUCAUGCAGCAGAAUCCCCAUCAUCUCCAUCAUCCCCAUCAGCCCCAUCAGCCCCAUCAUCUCCAUCAUCCCCAUCAUCUCCAUCACCAUCAUCUUCAUGGCAGCUAGCCUGUAUCGGUCACUCCCUGCUGGCCAGCUGCGUCUCAUUUCAUCCUCAGGGCCUCUCUGAGGUGGCCACUCUCAUUAUUUUCAUUUUACAGGUGGGGAAACAUCACAGAGCAG